rnacentral:rRNA from 1 species
AAUCAACGCUGGCGGCGUGCCUAACACAUGCAAGUCGAACGCGAAAGCCCCUUCGGGGGCAAGUAGAGUGGCGUCCGGGUGAGUAACACGUGGGUAAUCUACCUCCGGGUGGGGAAUAACUCGCCGAAAGGCGGGCUAAUACCGCAUAAUGCAGCGGCACCGAAUGGUGAUUAGUUGUUAAAGCGGGGGACCUUAGGGCCUCGCGUCUGGAGAGGAGCCUGCGGCAGAUUAGCUUGUUGGUAGGGAAUGGCCUACCAAGGCUGCGAUCUGUAGCUGGUCUGAGAGGACGGCCAGCCACACUGGCACUGACACACGGGCCAGACUCCUACGGGAGGCAGCAGUGGGGAAUUUUGGGCAAUGGGCGAAAGCCUGACCCAGCAACGCCGCGUGAAGGAGGAAAUCCUUCGGGAUGUAAACUUCACAAGCAAGGGAAGAGCGCGCAGGGUCGAAUAAACUCUGCGUCCGACGGGUACCUUGCGUAAGCCACGGCUAACUACGUGCCAGCAGCCGC